rnacentral:lncRNA from 10 species
CUAUGAUCUAUAUCUAGUAUAACUAUUCUUAUUGUAUAUAUUUUCUUCAUUACACUGGAAGAGCUCGUGCCCUCGGUCUCUUGCCUCGGCACCUGGGCGGCUUGCCGCCCACAUGCACCCCACCCCGUCUUGCCAGAGACUGCAGCCUCUGGGGUGAACCUCCCACCUGGGUAUCAGGCCCCUGCUGGUGACAAUGUGAAGGUGGUUGGGGGUGCCGGGAGACAGGAGCUGAAUUGUGGGUGAGGAUCCCCCCCAACUGGGAGAGCUCGCAGCCCUGGCAGUUCCCUGAUCCUCAGGAGUCCCCUCUGCUUGUCGGGCAUCUCGGGGGUUCUUUCUGCUGCUGUUUCCCCAACCUGGUGGUGGAAGGCCUGGCACAGCGGCUCCAGGUCACAUGGGCAGGAAAACAGGACAGAGGAGCAGCCACCAGUGCAGCUGUGCCUGCGGCCGGACACACUGACCACCCCAAUGUCCAGCGCUGGGGCGGGUCUCUCUGUGCUGUGGGUGGGAGCGUCGAAACGCGGAAGGGGCUCCUCUCCUGGGUGCCAGGUCGGGGCUGCCCCGCAGCGCCCGCCAGACCUCCCUCUCUGAACCUGUGGGCACUGGGGGUCCUCAGCCACUGAAGGGAGAGCCAGGAGUCCUGUCACUUCCCCCGUGCCCAUCCCCAGCACUUUUGGAGGGACCUGGAGAAGGAGGGGAGGGGCCCGGCCACAGGGCAGUGGUGCAGCCCCUGGAGUCUCAGCGGUUGCCCUGCCUGCAGCAAGGGUGCUGGGGCUACUGGUGCCUCCCCAGCCUGUCCUGGACUCCGGUGAUGUGCUGCCCCAGAAACACACGUGGAGGACCCCAGGAGGAGCCCCAUCUUGCAGCCCAUGAAGCAGGAGAGAAUUAUCUGAUCCAUGAGGAACAACCAGGGAAGAGCCAGGACAGACCCCGGGCCUCCUGCCAGUGCCCUAAGGAAGACCCCUCCCCAGCUGCGGAGCGGAGGCCAGGUCCUCGGUCCCGGUGGGGAGCGAGAGGCAGCAGUGGGUAAACGCCAGUGGAGGGGGCGGGCCAGGGGGCCCAGGCUGGAGAGAACUUUGAAGGCAGCUUUCCAGAGCCCCAAAACCUCCAUCAGGAGCUGGGCCUUGCCUGGGGUCAGACUUUUGCCAGCUGGUCAUGCGGGCUCCAGCUUUCUGACAGCCUCCAACCCGGGGUGACCCCCAACCACCCAGCCACAGCCCAGUCCUACAGAGGGUCUUCCUGACGCUCCUCCUGCGACCCCGCGGUGCCCGUGGUGUGUGUGGCCACGUGCCCUCCUCUGCUCCCCGAGUUCCAAACACACCAGGACGGAGCCUGUUUGAGCCUGGAGCCCUCUGCAUUGCUCUGCUGCAGGCUAUAAAGCAAAAUGCAAAACGCAACGUGCAUCCCGUCCAGUUCACGUAUUUCUACCAUGUUUGGGUGUUUUUAAGGGUCCCGCUUCAUUUUUAUCCUAAAGCCAGUGGCAGCCACUCAAUCUUUGGAGACUGGGGCUGUCGCCUGCAUCCGCGGUUGGAGUUUGCCAGACACCUGGCGCCUUGGGCCACCUCUGGGCUCCAGAACCUGCAACCCUGGGCACACGGCUCUCCCGCCGUCUUGCCACAGUGCCCCCUGGCGGCCCUGCUGAGUCAAGCCGGCUUCCUGUCUUCCCAGACUGGGCUCUUCCCUGAAACCCGGGAGGGAAAGGUGAGACUUUCAGCCCCUCUGCCCAGAGCUGCUCAGGAUGGCUUGGAGCCCUGCACGUAUUUGGCAAAUAUUUACUGUGUGUGCACUAUGUGCCUGGCACUGUCAUUGAACCAGAGGGUAGAACAAUGACCAAAACCAGGUACACCUGUUCUCAGGGCUCCAACCUUCUGGGGAGGGAUGGACACAGCAAAGGGGUGUCUGUGAGGUGACACAGUGAAGGGGCGUCUGUGAGGUGACACGUCGAAGGAACGCAAGCAAGGAGACGGAAAGAGGGAGCUGCUAGUUUACACGGGCGCUGGCGAACAUAAACGUUUGUGUUUAAGUACAAAGAAAAUGGUUGCAGCUGUGCAGGCCUCGGGGGUUCACACUGGGACGAUGACCACGGCUGCAGCCUGGUGCCCCCCAGCUUGGGGAAAAGAAGGAAAUGAAGAGCAGGGUGCAAGCUCAGAUCGAGACGGCCCAAACCCAAGAAGCCAAAAGUGUAUUGGGGUGCAAGCUAUGCUUUACGCUCUUAUGCAUUCUUCUUCCAUUUGUAAAAAAGUUUGGACAUGCAGAGAAUCUGCGUUUGGUGCCUUUCAAAUCGAGGGAAUAAAAGGUCCCGCCUCCACGGGCUGGGAGAGCCUCACACACAACACACAAGGUGAUGACUGAUUUCUCCUUUUCUGCAAGGAAUUUCCUCACUUUCUCUUCCCAGCUCAGGAAUGAGCCUUAGGAAGAGGCAGAGGUCGAACCAUUUGGUUCAAGCAAGGCCCGGGGUCCGAGAGGGAGGCCUAGCUGGAGGAGAUUGGGCGUUGGGAG